AGGCAGCCAGACGGUUGCGGUGGAGCAAUCCAACGAGGAAAGUCCGAGCACCAUAGGGCAGAGCGCCGGAGAAAUCCCGGUGAAGGCGACUUUAAGGAAAGUGCAACAGAAAUAUACCGCCACUACGUGGUAAGGGUGGAAAUGUGGGGUAAGAGCCCACAAACGACGUGGUAACACGCCGUUCCUGUAAACCCCGCUCGGUGCAAGAAGUGAGACUAAACGUUUGCCCGACGUCUCGAUAUGUCGCUAGAGCCUUGCGGAGACGUAAGGCGUAGAUAGAUAACCGUCAAAUACAGAACUCGGCUUAUAGACUGC
rnacentral:RNase_P_RNA from 1 species